AUACUGCAGUCGAGCGAAUGAUGAAGAAGCUUGCUUCUUCUGAUUUAGCGGCGGACGGGUGAGUAACACGUGGGCAACCUACCUAGUAGAUUGGGAUAACUCCGGGAAACCGGGGCUAAUACCGAAUAAUCCAUUUCACCUCAUGGUGAAAUGCUGAAAGGCGGUUUCGGCUGUCACUACUAGAUGGGCCCGCGGUGCAUUAGCUAGUUGGUGGGGUAAUGGCCUACCAAGGCAACGAUGCAUAGCCGACCUGAGAGGGUGAUCGGCCACAUUGGGACUGAGACACGGCCCAAACUCCUACGGGAGGCAGCAGUAGGGAAUCUUCCACAAUGGACGAAAGUCUGAUGGAGCAACGCCGCGUGAGUGAUGAAGGUUUUCGGAUCGUAAAACUCUGUUGUAAGGGAAGAACAAGUACGUUAGUAACUGAACGUACCUUGACGGUACCUUAUUAGAAAGCCACGGCUAACUACGUGCCAGCAGCCGCGGUAAUACGUAGGUGGCAAGCGUUGUCCGGAUUUAUUGGGCGUAAAGCGCGCGCAGGUGGUUUCUUAAGUCUGAUGUGAAAGCCCACGGCUCAACCGUGGAGGGUCAUUGGAAACUGGGAGACUUGAGUGCAGAAGAGGAAAGUGGAAUUCCAAGUGUAGCGGUGAAAUGCGUAGAGAUUUGGAGGAACACCAGUGGCGAAGGCGACUUUCUGGUCUGUAACUGACACUGAGGCGCGAAAGCGUGGGGAGCAAACAGGAUUAGAUACCCUGGUAGUCCACGCCGUAAACGAUGAGUGCUAAGUGUUAGGGGGUUUCCGCCCCUUAGUGCUGCAGCUAACGCAUUAAGCACUCCGCCUGGGGAGUACGGCCGCAAGGUUGAAACUCAAGAG
rnacentral:rRNA from 1 species